rnacentral:rRNA from 1 species
AGAAACCAACAGGGAUUGCCUCAGUAGCGGCGAGUGAAGCGGCAAAAGCUCAAAUUUGAAAUCUGGCGUCUUUGGCGUCCGAGUUGUAAUUUGAAGAAGGUAUCUUUGGGCCCGGCUCUUGUCUAUGUUCCUUGGAACAGGACGUCACAGAGGGUGAGAAUCCCGUGCGAUGAGAUGACCCGGGUCUGUGUAAAGUUCCUUCGACGAGUCGAGUUGUUUGGGAAUGCAGCUCUAAGUGGGUGGUAAAUUCCAUCUAAAGCUAAAUAUUGGCGAGAGACCGAUAGCGAACAAGUACAGUGAGGAAAGAUGAAAAGAACUUUGAAAAGAGAGUGAAAAAGUACGUGAAAUUGUUGAAAGGGAAGGGCUUGAGAUCAGACUUGGUAUUUUGCAUGUUGCUCUCUCGGGGGCGGCCGCUGCGGUUUACCGGGCCAGCAUCGGUUUGGAGCGGCAGGAUAAUGGCGGAGGAAUGUGGCACGGCUUCUGCUGUGUGUUAUAG